rnacentral:rRNA from 1 species
UACGUAGGGGGCUAGCGUUGUCCGGAUUUAUUGGGCGUAAAGAGCGUGUAGGCGGCCAGGUAGGUCUGCUGUGAAAACUCGAGGCUCAACCUCGAGCUGUCGGUGGAAACUGUCUGGCUAGAGUCCGGAAGAGGAGAAUGGAAUUCCUGGUGUAGCGGUGAAAUGCGCAGAUAUCAGGAAGAACACCCGUGGCGAAGGCGGCUCUCUGGGACGGUACUGACGCUGAGACGCGAAAGCGUGGGGAGCGAACAGG